rnacentral:rRNA from 1 species
UAGUAAUAGUUAUAUUCUUUAAACUUAAAAAAUUUGGCGGUAUUUUAAUCUUUUCAGAGGAACCUGUCCUGUAAUCGAUAUUCCACGUUAAAUUUUACUAAAUUAUUUGUAUAUCGUUGUCGUAAGAAUUAAUUUUCUAAAAUUAAUAUUUUAAUAGAUGUCAAAUCAAGGUGCAGUUAAUAAUUUAGUAGAGAUGGGUUACAAUAAAAUUAUUUAGAAUUUUAGUGAAGGAGGAUUUGGAUGUAAAUAAUUUUUAUAAAAAA